rnacentral:rRNA from 1 species
CGGACGGGUGAGUAAUGUCUGGGAAACUGCCUGAUGGAGGGGGAUAACUACUGGAAACUGUAGCUAAUACCGCAUAACGUCGCAAGACCAAAGAGGGGGACCUUCGGGCCUCUUGCCAUCGGAUGUGCCCAGAUUGGAUUAGCUAGUAGGUGGGGUAACGGCUCACCUAGGCGACGAUCCCUAGCUGGUCUGAGAGGAUGACCAGCCACACUGGAACUGAGACACGGUCCAG